CGUAGGGGGCAAGCGUUGUCCGGAUUUAUUGGGCGUAAAGAGCUCGUAGGUGGUUCAGUAAGUCGGGUGUGAAACCUCCAGGCUCAACCUGGAGACGCCACCCGAUACUGCUGUGACUAGAGUCCAGUAGGGGAGCGUGGAAUUCCUGGUGUAGCGGUGAAAUGCGCAGAUAUCAGGAGGAACACCAGUGGCGAAGGCGGCGCUCUGGGCUGGAACUGACACUGAGGAGCGAAAGCGUGGGGAGCGAACAGGAUUAGAUACCCUGGUAGUCCACGCCGUAAACGUUGGGUACUAGGUGUGGGGUCUUAUCAACGGAUUCCGUGCCGAAGCUAACGCAUUAAGUACCCCGCCUGGGGAGUACGGCCGCAAGGCUA
rnacentral:rRNA from 1 species